rnacentral:rRNA from 1 species
AUGAACGCUGGCGGCGUGCCUAAUACAUGCAAGUAGCACGCUGAAGGAAGGAGCUUGCUCUUUCCGGAUGAGUUGCGAACGGGUGAGUAACGUGUAGGUAACCUGCCUGGUAGCGGGGGAUAACUAUUGGAAACGAUAGCUAAUACCGCAUAACAGUAGAUGUUGCAUGACAACUAUUUGAAAGGGGCAAUUGCUCCACUACCAGAUGGACCUGCGUUGUAUUAGCUAGUUGGUGAGGUAACGGCUCACCAAGGCGACGAUACAUAGCCGACCUGAGAGGGUGAUCGGCCACACUGGGACUGAGACACGGCCCAGACUCCUACGGGAGGCAGCAGUAGGGAAUCUUCGGCAAUGGACGGAAGUCUGACCGAGCAACGCCGCGUGAGUGAAGAAGGUUUUCGGAUCGUAAAGCUCUGUUGUAAGAGAAGAACGAGUGUGAGAGUGGAAAGUUCACACUGUGACGGUAUCUUACCAGAAAGGGACGGCUAACUACGUG